GAGAGGCCGCCUGAGAAACGGCGACCACUUCCAAGGAAGGCAGCAGGCGCGCAAAUUACCCACUCUCAAAAUGAGGAGGUAGUGAAGAGAAAUAACGAUGUUAGUCUAUUAUAGGCUGACAAUCGGAAUGGGAACACUGUAAACAGGUUAUCGAUUAACAAUUGGAGGGCAAGUCUGGUGCCAGCAGCCGCGGUAAUUCCAGCUCCAAUAAGGAAAACUAAAGUUGCUGUGUUUAAAAAGCUCGUAGUUGAAUUUCGGGUAUUUGUUGCUAGCUGGUCUAACUGGCCAUGUUGGUUAACAGAUCCUCAUUUGCUGGACGGCUGGCGAUGAUCUUUAUCGAUUGUCGUCAGUUGCCAGAACGUUUACUUUGAGAAAAUUAGAGUGCUAAAAGCAGGCUCACGCCUAUAUAUAUUGCAUGGAAUAAUGAAAUAAGAUCUCGAUUUUAUUUCGUUGGUUUUAGAAAUUGAGAUAAUGAUUAAUAGGAUCAGAGGGGGGCGUACGUACUGUGGUGUGAGAGGUGAAAUUCUUGGAUCGCCACAGGACGAACAGCAGCGAAGGCGUUCGCCAAGAAUGUUCUCAUUAAUCAAGAACGAAAGUUUGAGGUUCGAAGACGAUUAGAUACCGUCCUAGUUCAGACCAUAAACGUUGCCGACUGUCUUUUAGAUGCGGUUAUUUAUAUGACUCAUCUGGCGGAUCUCGAGAAAUCUAAGUUUUUAGGUUCCGGGGGAAGUAUGGUUGCAAAGCUGAAACUUAAAAGAAUUGACGGAAGGACACACAAGAAGUGGAGCCUGUGGCCUAAUUUGACCCAACACGGGAAACCUUACUCGGCCAGGACACUUUUAGGAUUGACAGAUUGAGAGCUCUUUCUUGAUUAGGUGGGUGGUGGUGCAUGGUCGUUCGUAGUUCGUGGAGCGAUUUGUCUGAUUAAUUUCGAUAACGAACGAGACUCCGGCUUACUAAAUAGUCUAAAGUUCGCAGGGACUUUUCAAGACUUCUUAGCAGGAUAAGUGGCACUUUUUAAGCCACACGAAAUGGAGCAAUAACAGGUCUGUGAUGCCCUUAGAUGUCCGAGGCUGCACGCGCGCUACACUGGAGAGUUCAGAAUGUUUCUUCCUACUUCGACAGAAGUGGGUAACCAUGAAAUUCUCUUCGUGACUGGGAUCGGAGCUUGCAAUUAUUCUCCGUCAACGAGGAAUUCCUAGUAAGCACUAUUUCAUCAGAAUGUGCUGAUUAUGUCCCUGUCCUUUGUACACACCGCCCGUCGCUACUACCGAUUGAAUGUUUUAGUGAGAUCUUCGGCUUGGUUUUCCGAGCGGCUUUCGGGUCGUUCGGUUUAUAUCGAAAAGAUGCUCAAACUGGAUCAUUUAGAGGAAGUAAAAGUCGUAACGAGGUA
rnacentral:rRNA from 1 species